GACGAACGCUGGCGGCGUGCCUAAUACAUGCAAGUAGAACGCUGAAGAGAGGAGCUUACUCUUCUUGGAUGAGUUGCGAACGGGUGAGUAACGCGUAGGUAACCUGCCUUGUAGCGGGGGAUAACUAUUGGAAACGAUAGCUAAUACCGCAUAACAAUGGAUGACACAUGUCAUUUAUUUGAAAGGGGCAAUUGCUCCACUACAAGAUGGACCUGCGUUGUAUUAGCUAGUAGGUGAGGUAAUGGCUCACCUAGGCGACGAUACAUAGCCGACCUGAGAGGGUGAUCGGCCACACUGGGACUGAGACACGGCCCAGACUCCUACGGGAGGCAGCAGUAGGGAAUCUUCGGCAAUGGGGGCAACCCUGACCGAGCAACGCCGCGUGAGUGAAGAGGGUUUUCGGAUCGUAAAGCUCGGUUGUAAGUCAAGAACGGGUGUGAGAGUGGAAAGUUCACACUGUGACGGUAGCUUACCAGAAAGGGACGGCUAACUACGUG
rnacentral:rRNA from 1 species